rnacentral:rRNA from 1 species
UACGUAGGGGGCAAGCGUUGUCCGGAAUCAUUGGGCGUAAAGAGCGCGUAGGCGGCCCUGUAAGUCCGCUGUGAAAAGUCAAAGGGCUCAACCCUUGGAUGCCGGUGGAUACUGCAGGGCUAGAGUCCGGAAGAGGCGAGUGGAAUUCCUGGUGUAGCGGUGAAAUGCGCAGAUAUCAGGAGGAACACCGAUGGCGAAGGCAGCUCGCUGGGACGGUACUGACGCUGAGGCGCGAAAGCGUGGGGAGCAAACAGG